rnacentral:tRNA from 3 species
GGGGCUGUAGCUCAGCUGGGAGAGUGCCUGACUGGCAGUCAGGAGGUCACGGGUUCGAUCCCCGUCAGCUCCACCA